rnacentral:lncRNA from 1 species
CUCACUCUAUUUACUCUACCAGAGGUGAAGACUUACUUUUCCUUCCUGAGUUACAUUCCCUCACAUCAAAAGUCUAAGAGAGGUUCCACACACAUAAAAUUCAAGCAACAAGAAACGAAAGAUAGAAAGAAUUCACUCAUUCUCAGCAAAGAAUAUUCACAUGCCACACAGACACACCAUAAGCUUGUCCCUAGUGUAGUACUCUACUAAUUGAUGUGUUUUAGUCAAAGAUCAAAAGGUCUUUAUUUGGUUGUAAUGUAGUCUAAGGGACGGGUAGGAUACAUUUGGAUGUAGUGACUAACCUCCCUAAGCACUUUUAAUACACACUUCCUUUUAUCUCAAUUUCCCUGCCCAGCUAAAUCAUUCCUCCACAUUUUUGUUUCACAGGUGACCCCUACUUUCCGCUUCUUAUUUUAUUUAUUUUUUCUUUCAUUAUUUUGUUUUGUUUUCUUUGUCUCAUGUUUUUCUUUCUCUUUUUUUUCUUUUACAAUGCC